UACGGGGGGGGCAAGCGUUGUUCGGAAUUACUGGGCGUAAAGGGCUCGUAGGUGGCCAACUAAGUCAGACGUGAAAUCCCCAGGCUCAACUUGGGAACUGCGUCUGAUACUGGUUGGCUUGAAUCCGGGAGAGGGAUGCGGAAUUCCAGGUGUAGCGGUGAAAUGCGUAGAUAUCUGGAGGAACACCGGUGGCGAAGGCGGCAUCCUGGACCGGCAUUGACGCUGAGGCGCGAAAGCCAGGGGAGCAAACGGG
rnacentral:rRNA from 1 species